AGAGUGCACUUUUCAACGUGGCGGAAGCGAUGUGCUUACACGUUUGGAAUAACUCGGGAUUCAGAUAUGUAAAUAUUUAUGUGCUGUCGAUAUUUAUAAACUAAGGACGUAUUGAAUAUCGUCCACAUAACUCUGUGCAGUAGCGUGGAAUUCUACAACUAUUAUAAAUUACAAGUGAACGAUGAGUGAUGAAAAGGCAGAAAAAAUGGUCCAAGAUGCAGUUCGUUGAAGUCAAUGCAUAAAUGUGGUCGCUGUUCAAUGUAGAAGUUGUGGUCUUAAUCUUUGCAGAGAUUGUAGAAACAAACAUUUAGAAAAUGAAGCAUUGAAGCAUGAAAUUGACCUGUACAAGCAACAAGCCUCCUCUCCAGACAAAUGUACUGAUCAUUCUCAAGAAAAUGUCCUGUACUGUCAAGAUUGCACAGUUCCUAUUUGCUUUCAGUGUCUUUUGGGAAACCAUGAGGGACACAGAAGUGUAAACUUGUCCAAAAUCACCUCAGCAACUCAAAGCGCCGUCCAAAGCGACUUACUGGAAUUAAGGCACUUCAAAAA